rnacentral:rRNA from 1 species
UACGUAGGGUGCGAGCGUUGUCCGGAAUUAUUGGGCGUAAAGAGCUUGUAGGCGGUUUGUCGCGUCUGCUGUGAAAUUUCGGGGCUCAACCCCGAACUUGCAGUGGGUACGGGCAGACUAGAGUGUGGUAGGGGAGAACGGAAUUCCUGGUGUAGCGGUGAAAUGCGCAGAUAUCAGGAGGAACACCGGUGGCGAAGGCGGUUCUCUGGGCCUGUACUGACGCUGAGGAACGAAAGCGUGGGGAGCGAACAGG